rnacentral:lncRNA from 1 species
ACUAUGGGGGCGUGGUCCUCCUUUCACUUGUUUCUGAAGUACACGAUAGGUAUUCAUCUCUCGAAAUUAAUUAUCAACUAAAUAUCAUUGAAACAAAAUGAAUAUAUUUUAAGACAUCAAUAAAUUUUAAGUGCUACUGGGUUUUUUUAACAGAAUAUGCCGGAAUCGACCCCAUCCGAUGUUGUGUCAAUACAUAGAUCAACGUUGUCAAUUUCCGGCGCCGAAAAUGUCAACGUAAAAUGUCAUUAAAAGUUGGAAUCUUUUCUUCUUUGUAUCAAUUUUGUUUAUCUUAAUGUCAAGAAAGUCAUGGAAUAUGUUGAAUCCAUAUCAACGUUAUACCAAAACAGGCCUUUACUUGGUAAACUAACAGUUUAAGGCCUACAUCAUCAUCAUGAGAUUGACUUGUUGACAUCGUACUUAUAGUUGAUCAAGAUUCAUUUCGUGCAUAUUGUUACCCUUUGUGUUGUUACCGGCCG